rnacentral:rRNA from 1 species
CAGUCGCCACGGUAAUACAGAGGGUGCGAGCGUUAAUCGGAUUUACUGGGCGUAAAGCGUGCGUAGGCGGUGUUGUAAGACUGAUGUGAAAUCCCCGGGCUCAACCUGGGAACUGCAUUGGUGACUGCAACGCUAGAGUGCGGCAGAGGGGGAUGGAAUUCCGCGUGUAGCAGUGAAAUGCGUAGAUAUGCGGAGGAACACCGAUGGCGAAGGCAAUCCCCUGGGCCUGCACUGACGCUCAUGCACGAAAGCGUGGGGAGCAAACAGGAUUAGAUACCCCAGUAGUCCCUGUCUCUUAUAC